rnacentral:rRNA from 1 species
GAGGAAUAUUGGACAAUGGGCGAAAGCCUGAUCCAGCCAUGCCGCGUGUGUGAAGAAGGUCUUCGGAUUGUAAAGCACUUUAAGUUGGGAUGAAGGGCAGUUACCUAAUACGUGAUUGUUUUGACGUUACCGACAGAAUAAGCACCGGCUAACUCUGUGCCAGCAGCCGCGGUAAUACAGAGGGUGCAAGCGUUAAUCGGAAUUACUGGGCGUAAAGCGCGCGUAGGUGGUUAGUUAAGUUGGAUGUGAAAUCCCCGGGCUCAACCUGGGAACUGCAUUCAAAACUGACUGACUAGAGUAUGGUAGAGGGGGGUAGAAUUCCAGGUGUAGCGGUGAAAUGCGUAGAGAUCUGGAGGAAUACCGGUGGCGAAGGCGGCCCCCUGGACGAAGACUGACGCUCAGGCACGAAAGCGUGGGGAGCAAACA